rnacentral:rRNA from 1 species
AAUGAACGUUGGCGGCGUGGAUUAGGCAUGCAAGUCGCGCGCUAAGUGUAGCAAUACAUGGUGAGCGGCGUAAGGGAGAGUAAUACAUGGUUAACUACCCUCGGGACUGGGAUAGCGGCGGGAAACUGCCGGUAAUACCAGAUGACAUCUUCGGAUCAAACGUGUGAAACGGCCCGAGGAGGUGACCAUGUCCUAUCAGCUUGUUGGCGGGGUAACGGCCCACCAAGGCUUAGACGGGUAUGGGGCGUGAGAGCGU